rnacentral:rRNA from 1 species
UACGAAGGGGGCUAGCGUUGUUCGGAAUUACUGGGCGUAAAGCGCGUGUAGGCGGGUCCUUAAGUCAGGGGUGAAAUGCCCGAGGCUCAACCUCGGAACUGCCUUUGAUACUGGGGAUCUUGAGUCCGGGAGAGGUGAGUGGAACUGCGAGUGUAGAGGUGGAAUUCGUAGAUAUUAGGAAGAACACCAGUGGCGAAGGCGGCUCACUGGUCCGGUACUGACGCUGAGGUGCGAAAGCGUGGGGAGCAAACAGG